CUGAUGGCUGUUCUCCUAGUCCCCAAGAGUUGAACCGGAGAGGCUUUUACUUUGCACCAGGUCGAGAACGUGAUCAGCCCUUUAGAGAAGGAACCUCCUUGUAACAGGAAUUCUGCUGGGAAACGCCGUGUAGGCACUACCUCCGAAGAUAAGAUGCAUGUUUGGAGCUGUGUAAAAUGCCCACUGGCUGUUUGAAAGAAGGAAAAGGUGACUAGGGUUGCAAAUUAACCUUAGUAUCACUUAAAAAUAUUCUAUCUAGUCAAAUGUACGUAAGCAAAGAAGAGAGCACCAGGAUAUAAAACUGCCACAGCAGCUUGGAAGACAGAUGAUUCAGAUUUUGGGGACUUUCUUUUGCGUGUUACAUAGAUUUGUUUGUCAUCAUGCAGUUAAGCAGGUGUUGAGGGAAAGCUGAGAGAAUGAAGGCUCUAAAUCCCCAGUGGAAGCAUGAUAUGGCGAAGCAGAGCUGGUGCUGAAUUGUUCUCUCUGAUGGCUCUAUGGGAGUGGAUAGCACUGAGUCUUCAUUGCUGG
rnacentral:lncRNA from 1 species